CCCUUAGAUGUUCUGGGCCGCACGCGUGCUACACUGAGUGGAUCAGCGGGUCAGGUUGCGCGAAAGUGUUUCCUAAUCUUGAAAUCCGCUCGUGAUGGGGAUUGACGGUUGCAAUUUUCUGUCAUGAACGAGGAAUACCUUGUAAGCGCGGGUCAUCAUCCCGCGCUGAAUACGUCCCUGCCCUUUGUACACACCGCCCGUCGCUCCUACCGAUUGAGUGGUCCGGUGGGGCUUUGGGAUCUGGAUGGAAAGAGCGUUUCGCUGUUUCUGCCCGGAAAACUCAGUCGAACCUUAUCAUUUAGAGGAAGGAGAAGUCGUAACA
rnacentral:rRNA from 1 species